rnacentral:rRNA from 1 species
UAGGGAAUUUUCCGCAAUGGACGCAAGUCUGACGGAGCAACGCCGCGUGAGUGAAGAAGGAUUUCGGUUCGUAAAACUCUGUUGUUAGAGAAGAACAGCGCAUAGAGUAACUGUUAUGCGUGUGACGGUAUCUAACAAGAAAGCCACGGCUAACUACGUGCCAGCAGCCGCGGUAAUACGUAGGUGGCAAGCGUUGUCCGGAUUUAUUGGGCGUAAAGCGAGCGCAGGCGGUCAAUUAAGUCUGAUGUGAAAGCCCCCGGCUCAACCGGGGAGGGUCACUGGAAAAUGGUUGACUUGAAUGCAGAAGAGGAGAGUUGAAUUCCAUGUGUAGCGGUGAAAUGCGUAGAUAUAUGGAGGAACACCAGUGGCGAAGGCGGCUCUCUGGUCUGUAACUGACGCUGAGGCUCGAAAGCGUGGGUAGCAAACAGG